rnacentral:rRNA from 1 species
AUUGAACGCUGGCGGCAUGCUUUACACAUGCAAGUCGGACGGCAGCACAGAGAAGCUUGCUUCUUGGGUGGCGAGUGGCGAACGGGUGAGUAAUAUAUCGGAACGUACCGAGUAAUGGGGGAUAACUAAUCGAAAGAUUAGCUAAUACCGCAUAUUCUCUGAGGAGGAAAGCAGGGGACCUUCGGGCCUUGCGUUAUUCGAGCGGCCGAUAUCUGAUUAGCUAGUUGGUGGGGUAAAGGCCUACCAAGGCGACGAUCAGUAGCGGGUCUGAGAGGAUGAUCCGCCACACUGGGACGGGGACACGGCCCAGACUCCUACGGGAGGCAGCAGUGGGGAAUUUUGGACAAUGGGGGCAAGCCUGAUCCAGCCAUGCCGCUGGUCUGAGGAAGGCCUUCGGGUUGUAAAGGACUUUUGUCAGGGAAGAAAAGGCUGUUGCUAAUACCGACAGCUGAUGACGGUACCUGAAGAAUAAGCACCGGCUAACUACGUG